rnacentral:rRNA from 1 species
CGGGGAAACUCGGAUUAACACUUCAUAGUAUCAUUGGAAGGCAUCUUUUGGUGAUUAAAACUGAGGUGGUUUUGGAUGGGCAUGCGUCUGAUUAGCUAGUUGGUGGUGUAACGGACCACCAAGGCGAUGAUCAGUAGGGGACCUGAGAGGGUGAUCCCCCACACUGGCACUGAGAUACGGGCCAGACUCCUACGGGAGGCAGCAGUAGGGAAUAUUGGUCAAUGGAUGGAAGUCUGAACCAGCCAUGCCGCGUGCAGGAAGAAGGCCUUCUGGGUUGUAAACUGCUUUUGCCAGGGGCUAAAAGGCCGGUGCGCCGGAAAUUGAAAGUACCUGGUGAAUAAGCCACGGCUAACUACGUGCCAGCAGCCGCGGUAAUACGUAGGUGGCAAGCGUUGUCCGGAUUUAUUGGGUUUAAAGGGUGCGUAGGCGGCUUAUUAAGUCAGUGGUGAAAUAUCGCAGCUUAACUGUGAGGGUGCCAUUGAUACUGAUGAGCUUGAGUACAGAUGAGGUAGGCGGAAUUGACGGUGUAGCGGUGAAAUGCAUAGAUAUCGUCAAGAACACCUAUAGCGAAGGCAGCUUACUAAGCUGUAACUGACGCUGAGGCACGAAAGUGUGGGGAUCAAACAGGAUUAGAUACCCUGGUAGUCCACACUG